AUUUUCCCCAUAGUGGAAGCAGUGUGUAUGUACACUGCUACCAAGUAGCGGUAUUCACCGAAUCCAAGAGGUAGAAGAGAAUUUGGAGCCUCAGAGUCUUUUCCAGUGAGUCAGCCCUUCACAUCAAGUGGCCAAAGCAUUGGCGCUUCAGCAUCAGUCCUUCUGUUACUGAAAGAUGUGUGGAGUCCAGCUGCUUGCCACUCAAACACCAAUAAAUAGUCCAGGAAAAACCAUGGUUUUAUGACUGCUGGAAAAACCAGCAGUCGUGUACAAAUGUGAGAGUUGGACCAUAAAGAAGUCUGAGCGCUGAAGAAUUGAUCCUUUUGAACUGUGGUGUUGGAGAAGACUCUUGAGAAUCCCUUGGACUGCAAGGAAAUCAAACCAGUCAAUCCCA